rnacentral:misc_RNA from 1 species
GAAAUGCGAUAAGUAAUGUGAAUUGCAGAAUUCAGUGAAUCAUCGAAUCUUUGAACGCACAUUGCGCCCGCCAGCAUUCUGGCGGGCAUGCCUGUUCGAGCGUCAUUUCAACCCUCAAGCUCUGCUUGGUGUUGGGGCCCUACGGUUAAACGUAGGCCCUUAAAGGUAGUGGCGGACCCUCUCGGAGCCUCCUUUGCGUAGUAACUAACGUCUCGCACUGGGAUUCGGAGGGAUUCUAGCCGUAAAACCCCCAAUUUUUUAAGGUUGACCUCGGAUCAGGUAGGAAUACCCGCUGAACUUAA